UACGUAGGGUCCGAGCGUUGUCCGGAAUUAUUGGGCGUAAAGGGCUCGUAGGCGGUCCGUCACGUCGGGAGUGAAAACUCAGGGCUCAACCCUGAGCGUGCUUCCGAUACGGGCGGACUAGAGGUAUGCAGGGGAGAACGGAAUUCCUGGUGUAGCGGUGGAAUGCGCAGAUAUCAGGAGGAACACCGGUGGCGAAGGCGGUUCUCUGGGCAUUACCUGACGCUGGAGGAGCGAAAGCAUGGGGAGCGAAACAGGA
rnacentral:rRNA from 1 species